GACCUUUUAAAAAGGCUCUACCCGUGUAUACUCCUUUUAGAGUAGCUGAAGGAAGUCAUGGAAGCUAGCGAGCCCUUCAAAUUUUUCCCUGUCUGGUUUAAUCCAUGCGCAUGUUUUGCUCCCUAAAAUAGUGAUCCUGACAAUAAUCCUACAGGCAUGGAGCGAUCUGCUUUUUACAGGGCCCUCGCUCCUGCCUUCUAACGCUGCUGGUUUUGUCCCCAUUUUAUAGAUGAUGAGGAACCGAAGCUCAGAGGAGUUGGGGGUCUCGUCCAGAGCCCCGGAGAGUCAGAACCAGAACUAGAACUCAGGCCCCCAGAAUCCAAAAGCUCUUUCUACUACUCUGUUGCUAGGCAACCCUUCUCCCUUUCGAUUCUUGUGCCAAUGCUACUUGUUGCCAUGGUACUGCUGGGACAAGGAGCAGUACAUUGUAAUUAAGCAGCGAGCUAGAAUCUUGGCUCCUUGCAGAAAGGGGUCUUUAUGCCCCAAGUAUGGGUGGCCGGAGAGGGGCAAUUGGAUGGGACUGGUCAGUUAUCAUGUAAGUUUUGUGGGGGGCAGAUGUCUGUCUUCACCUCUAUCCACUUGAAGCCACACGUGCCCAGGGAUGCCUGGGCAGGAGUGCCGUGUUGUCACGAAUCAGCGUCUAAGUUCAGUGUGUGCUUCAGUCUAGGAGGACUAGGGGUGUCCCUGGUCAGCAGCACCAUGCUGGCAUCGGACCUGAGUUCAAAUCCUCCCAUGAGGAAUCGCUUUCGAAUUCUGUUGAGUCUGGAUGGAUUCAAGGGCAUGAAGUUCAGCACAAUCAUCCUCGUAUUUCACUUUGGCUGGAUGGACGCUCAGUUCUUGUCUCCUUCCUGGAGCUCCUAGUCCAGAAUAAGGAAUCCAGUUCCCAACUAGAUCUCUUGCUGACACCCUACUCCGCUCUGCAUUUGAGACUCAUCCUUCCAUCCCCAGGGCCUACACAGUGCUUCACAUAAGGAGGCAUUCAAUAAACUUUGUCAAACAAAUGAAGCA
rnacentral:lncRNA from 1 species